GUCCUUUGGAAUUAUCUUGGAUCAUUGUAUUGAUCAGAGUAGCAAGCUUGGUGGGCAUGUCUAAUAUAAAAACCUUUAGAAUCCUCAUGGUCAACACUCAGAGAGGAAACCUGAACUUGGGAUUUGAGGUCAAUCAGCAGUGAACAAGUGAUCCCACCUGUAAAAUGUGAAUUGUGAUACUUUUAACCUACUUCCUCAAAGAGAUGUUGGGGUAAAAAAAAUAAAUUUUGCCCAAAGUCCUUUGGAGAAGCUUAGAAGGAAGAUAGUGUAUAAACAUAGAUCUUGGUUCAAAUUAUUGGUGAGACGAUGUUGCACAGGAAACCCUUAUUUCAUUGGAACCGUCUCUAGGCAAUGGCCAUCCAGUAAUUAACGCACUGGUUACCAGCAAAUAAGGAAAUUGACUUUGACAUUUCUUUGGUGCCUACUUGGUGCUGAAAAUUUUAUGAUGUGAUAAGAUAUAUGUGAAGCUAAGAUCAUUCCCUAAUAUAUGUGACCCAGUGGAUAAAGAGCUGGCUUUAGAGUCAUGAAUAUCUGAGUUCAAAUCCAAUCUUAGAUAUUUACUACCUGUGUUACCCGGGACAAGUCAGUUCAACUUUGCUUGCCUCAGUUUCCUCAUAUGUAAAUUUGGGAAUAAUAGCAGCGCCUACCUCACAGAGUUUUUAAGAAGAUCAGAUGAGAUAUUAUUUAUGAUUAUUCACUUGCUUUUAUAGACAGGGCAAUACAAGAUACAAGCAAGUAAUUAUUUUACACAGCACUGAAAGAUAAAAUGUAGGUGAGGGAAAAGAAAUGCUCUUAUCCUAAGAGUUUCAUUUUUAAUGGAUGAAGAAAGAAAAGUUAAAUAGUUGUCCUAGUGCUGGUGAAGGGGAGCUAUUGACCAGAUUUGGAUGGAAAAUAAAACAAGCUUGGGCUAUUUUUUAAAGAGAGACAAAUCUUUCUUGGAAAUGACAUCUGGACAGAAAGCCCUUUUAUGUUUUUAUUGAAUUGUUUAGCAGGUAGCUGGUUGCUGCUGUGGCUUUCUUCCCAGAACACAACAAUGCAGAACAGAAUGAAACAACUUCCAAACACCUCUCCUGAAGUGAAGGCAAGUACAUGAUGUACUGAAGCAAAAGCUAAGGCACUCAAUCAAGGUGCAUAGGUAAAUAUAUCAGCUUGUAAAUGAGAUAAACAGGGAGCCAGCCACUUCAAAUGGUGUUUUCAUCAAAUAGAAUAAAAUAAAGUACAAAAAAGGAUUUCAAAAUGUUUUUAUGCAAUUUUGAAGUCUCAAUUUAAAACUAAAUGUUCAGUGAUAACAAAUAGUACAAAGAUAGUUAUUUACAUAAUCAGGAUUCUAAUCUAACUAUAAUUUCCAUCAAAUAUGCUUUAUAGGACCAUCUACUAGGGAAGAUUUUCUUUAAUGGUAAACAGAUAUCAUCUAUUUGCCCCAACCAGAAGUCUCUUUCAUUUCUAGGGUAUUGCAUAAGCAACAAGGUGAUUUAUAAACAUUUAGGAUAUAAUACAGAAUUCUUAUGAUUCAUAUAAAGGCAAAAAUUUGGCUCACAUUUGUGUUCUAGAUAGGAAAGGACUAGGACCACAUCACCACUUUUUUUUCUUUUCCCCAAAGUGGUCAUACUCUAAUCACUUAUAAAGGAAAAAAAAAACAUAAUAUAGAAAACCCAAGUAGCAUGAGUGGAGUUGGAAUUCCAAGGAAGGAAAGAUCUACAUCUAUCUCCACUCAUUUCAUUCAUUUCCUGUGCACCUAUGCAUCAGAGUAAAGUUUUUACAUUCCGCACACUCUUGCAUGCCUGAGUUACCCUUUGACAUUACCCCAGUAUCGGUCACCUAGCAACACUGAUCCAAAAAAAAAUGCUGUUCUCAUUCAUAUCAUGAUCCAGAUUACUACUUAAACCUCAGGCCCUGCUUCCUGGUAAUCUUUUGUCCUCUCCAAUUGGUGCCUAGGUGGGCACAAAAUUAUAAGGGGUGAAUGAAUCAUUUUCCAUAUUUGUGGCAUAUGUACACAAAAAAUAGGAACUAGAUCUCUGAUUUAAUUGGUAUAAUGAGUUCCCCUUUAGGAUACAUGAUCUACCAAAGCAGUCAAUCCCUUUUCUGAAAUUUAUAAUCUGUAAAAUUGAUCCUAAGAUUUUAAGUGACUUACUCAGGAUUACAAAAGCAGUAUGUAGGAGAAGCUCAAUGUGAGCCCAGGUCUUGCUACUUCUAAGGCCAACUCUUUAUCCACUCUACCAGAUGUGACCAUAUGUUUACCAUACUAAACCAAAUUAAUUUGCUACCUAUUUCUUUUAAGAUCCAAUAUAAAGCACUUUAUUUACAUUUUAAGUCCUAGACACCUUGGCCCAAACCUUUCUUUCCUCCCUCACUGGGAAAUACUUCAUCUCUUGGACCCUGCAUUCCAGCAAAACUGAACAUCUUUGGCUCUUGUGCAGUACAGACCAUCACACACACACACACACACACACACACACACACACACACACACACACACACACACACACAAAAAGGUUAUGUAAUACAUGACAUUAAAGUAUGCUGAACACACUGAAAAUUUCAAACCCAAAUAGUCAUUUCAAAUCCAUCCUCGUGGACGUAAAUGGAAAAAAUACAGCUCAGGUCUUAUACAGUAUAGGCAUUUCAUAAGCAGAUGUUGAGUAAA